rnacentral:rRNA from 1 species
CCUACGGGGGGCAGCAGUGAGGAAUAUUGGUCAAUGGCCGGGAGGCUGAACCAGCCAAGUCGCGUGAGGGAAGACGGCCCUACGGGUUGUAAACCUCUUUUGUCAGGGAGUAAGGUGCAGGUCGGGACCUGCUGUGAGAGUACCUGAAGAAUAAGCAUCGGCUAACUCCGUGCCAGCAGCCGCGGUAAUACGGAGGAUGCGAGCGUUAUCCGGAUUUAUUGGGUUUAAGGGGUGCGUGGGGGGGCUGUUAAGUUAGCGGGAAAAGCCCGGGGCUCAACCCCGGACCGCCGUUGAUACUGGCAGUCUCGAGUGGGAGAGAAGUAGGCGGAAUGCGCGGUGUAGCGGUGAAAUGCAUAGAUAUCGCGCAGAACACCGAUUGCGAAGGCAGCAUGCCGGCUCCACACUGACGCUGAGGCACGAAAGCGUGGGUAUCGAACAGGAUUAGAUACCCUUGUAGUC